UAGAGUUUGAUCCUGGCUCAGGAUGAACGCUGGCGGCGUGCCUAAUACAUGCAAGUCGAGCGAAUGGAUUGAGAGCUUGCUCUCAAGAAGUUAGCGGCGGACGGGUGAGUAACACGUGGGUAACCUGCCCAUAAGACUGGGAUAACUCCGGGAAACCGGGGCUAAUACCGGAUAACAUUUUGAACUGCAUGGUUCGAAAUUGAAAGGCGGCUUCGGCUGUCACUUAUGGAUGGACCCGCGUCGCAUUAGCUAGUUGGUGAGGUAACGCUUCACCAAGGCAACGAUGCGUAGCCGACCUGAGAGGGNNUCGGCCACACUGGGACUGAGACACGGCCCAGACUCCUACGGGAGGCAGCAGUAGGGAAUCUUCCGCAAUGGACGAAAGUCUGACGGAGCAACGCCGCGUGAGUGAUGAAGGCUUUCGGGUCGUAAAACUCUGUUGUUAGGGAAGAACAAGUGCUAGUUGAAUAAGCUGGCACCUUGACGGUACCUAACCAGAAAGCCACGGCUAACUACGUGCCAGCAGCCGCGGUAAUACGUAGGUGGCAAGCGUUAUCCGGAAUUAUUGGGCGUAAAGCGCGCGCAGGUGGUUUCUUAAGUCUGAUGUGAAAGCCCACGGCUCAACCGUGGAGGGUCAUUGGAAACUGGGAGACUUGAGUGCAGAAGAGGAAAGUGGAAUUCCAUGUGUAGCGGUGAAAUGCGUAGAGAUAUGGAGGAACACCAGUGGCGAAGGCGACUUUCUGGUCUGUAACUGACACUGAGGCGCGAAAGC
rnacentral:rRNA from 1 species